UUUUAAAGCCCACAGACGGUUUAACAUAUUGAUGUAUUUAGUGAAUAUUUUAACACCACUUUUCUGUGCUGAAGCUAAUAUCCUAACAUCUGCCAAUUGGAAGUAAUUUUUAACUGAAUUAAACAUGUAUGUACUUGUUUCCCAGGACACACAAGCCUGAAAGAUGAAAGAUACGGUGUUUAUACUUCUCCCUAGGAAGAGCCAUAGGCCUUGGGCCCCAUCAAGACUCUUCAGUGUUUGAAUUUUAAGAUUUGCCUCCAAUAUGAAAUGAGAGGACUUUGCCUUCACUACUCAGCUUGAAGAAAGAGGAAAUUUAUUUGGGGUGGAGAAUGUGAAGCCUUCCCAGUGACUGCCUCUUCCACAAAUUGUCUUUCUGUUCCAAGGCAAUGACCUCAGUGUUGUCAACUAGGAGGCACCUGAGCUAGUGAGAAGCCAAGAAAGAGAGAGAUUUGCCUCAUCCCCACUGGUUAAAUAUUUUGUUCAUAAAAAAUUUUGAAAAUAUAUUUAUUAAGGAUAACUAUGU
rnacentral:lncRNA from 1 species